rnacentral:rRNA from 1 species
UUUAUGGAGAGUUUGAUCCUGGCUCAGAGUGAACGCUGGCGGCGUGCCUAAUACAUGCAAGUCGAACGAUGAAGCUUUUAGCUUGCUAGAAGUGGAUUAGUGGCGCACGGGUGAGUAAGGUAUAGUUAAUCUGCCCUACACAAGAGGACAACAGUUGGAAACGACUGCUAAUACUCUAUACUCCUGCUUAACACAAGUUGAGUAGGGAAAGUUUUUUUCGGUGUAGGAUGAGACUAUAUAGUAUCAGCUAGUUGGUGAGGUAAUGGCUCACCAAGGCUAUGACGCUUAACUGGUCUGAGAGGAUGAUCAGUCACACUGGAACUGAGACACGGUCCAGACUCCUACGGGAGGCAGCAGUAGGGAAUAUUGCGCAAUGGGGGAAACCCUGACGCAGCAACGCCGCGUGGAGGAUGACACUUUUCGGAGCGUAAACUCCUUUUCUUAGGGAAGAAUUCUGACGGUACCUAAGGAAUAAGCACCGGCUAACUCCGUGCCAGCAGCCGCGGUAAUACGGAGGGUGCAAGCGUUACUCGGAAUCACUGGGCGUAAAGGGCGCGUAGGCGGAUUAUCAAGUCUCUUGUGAAAUCCAACGGCUUAACCGUUGAACUGCUUGGGAAACUGGUAGUCUAGAGUGAGGGAGAGGCAGAUGGAAUUGGUGGUGUAGGGGUAAAAUCCGUAGAUAUCACCAAGAAUACCCAUUGCGAAGGCGAUCUGCUGGAACUUAACUGACGCUAAGGCGCGAAAGCGUGGGGAGCAAACAGGAUUAGAUACCCUGGUAGUCCACGCCCUAAACGAUGUACACUAGUUGUUGGGGUGCUAGUCAUCUCAGUAAUGCAGCUAACGCAUUAAGUGUACCGCCUGGGGAGUACGGUCGCAAGAUUAAAACUCAAAGGAAUAGACGGGGACCCGCACAAGCGGUGGAGCAUGUGGUUUAAUUCGAAGAUACGCGAAGAACCUUACCUGGGCUUGAUAUCCUAAGAACCUCUUAGAGAUAAGAGGGUGCUAGCUUGCUAGAACUUAGAGACAGGUGCUGCACGGCUGUCGUCAGCUCGUGUCGUGAGAUGUUGGGUUAAGUCCCGCAACGAGCGCAACCCACGUAUUUAGUUGCUAACGGUUCGGCCGAGCACUCUAAAUAGACUGCCUUCGUAAGGAGGAGGAAGGUGUGGACGACGUCAAGUCAUCAUGGCCCUUAUGCCCAGGGCGACACACGUGCUACAAUGGCAUAUACAAUGAGACGCAAUACCGCGAGGUGGAGCAAAUCUAUCAAAAUAUGUCCCAGUUCGGAUUGUUCUCUGCAACUCGAGAGCAUGAAGCCGGAAUCGCUAGUAAUCGUAGAUCAGCCAUGCUACGGUGAAUACGUUCCCGGGUCUUGUACUCACCGCCCGUCACACCAUGGGAGUUGAUUUCACUCGAAGCCGGAAUACUAAACUAGUUACCGUCCACAGUGGAAUCAGCGACUGGGGUGAAGUCGUAACAAGGUAACCGUAGGAGAACCUGCGGUUGGAUCACCUCCUUUCUA